UGCCAGCGACCAAAAAAUUAUUAACUUCGCGGAACCCGAUGAGAGCAGACGUGUCUGUGUCAACCGUGUCGUCGUCGUAGUGGUCGCGCUGAAAAUACCGCAUAAAGCAUUCUAUCGAAAAGUGCGUGCGUGUUUGAUUAGUGGCGUGUGUGUAUCGAGCGAAGGAAAAGUGAAAAUUAAUCUAAAAAAAACGCGAUUGCGUCUUUUCUCCAUCUUCCUCUGUCCCUCUUGCUGGUAUCUUUCAUCCCGUUCGCACCCCGUUCUGUGAAAGGUGCAAUUUUCCUCCCAAAGCCUACUGUGAGUGAAUGUGUGUAUGUGCGUGUAUGCAGUGUGUGAUUCACGGGGAAAAAUAAAACGCACAAAAGGGCACACACAAUCGGAAAACCACGCCGGGGCGUUCAUAGGAAGGAAACUUACUGUUCCCCGUGUGUGUGUCCCCCUGUGUUGUGCACGACCCUGAUUAUUAUGCACUGUUUUUAGGGGUGAGAAAGUGUAUGUGUAUGUGUUUGUGUGAACAAGGCACAAUAGCGGAAAGCCGUUAACGGAGCGAAGAAAAAAAAAAGAACAACACAACAAGGCCCGUCUGCGGAUCUGUUGCCGCUGCUGACAUCAUCGUGUCAUCGUCAUCCAACUAAUCGUCAUCAUCAAAUAAUUUUGAACUGUUCGGUUUCGCCGUGUCGCGUGUCGCACUUUCGCUAACAGCUAAAGCGUAGCGUUCCGUUUGGUCCGGAAGUUGGUGUCCCAGUACACGCGCACGCUCGGCGCUGUGGCCGAGUGACCUAUUCGUAACUCUCUGUGUAGUGUUAACCACAACACACACACACCCUAUCAGCUAACGUAGCGGGAAAACCCCCCAGUAGCAGUAGAACCUAAUUAGAGUAUCUGCAGUAACAAUGCCGGGCGAGUCAACGAAAGCGGCGGAACCGGCCGCCGCCACCAGUCCCAGCACACCGAAAAAGAAGCCCACCAACUCAAAGGCGGCCCUCGCAAAGGUUACACUGCUCGAUGGUUCGAUACUGGAGGUGACCAUUGAUCGAAAAUGCCGCGGCCGGGACCUGCUGAACUCGGUCUGUGCCGGGCUGAACAUACUGGAGAAGGAUUACUUCGGGCUGACGUACCACACAGCGAACGAUCCGCGCACCUGGCUCGAUCUCGAGCGUCCGGUGACGAAGUUUUUCCGCUCCGAUCCGUGGGACCUUUCGUUCGAGGUGAAGUUCUACCCGCCGGAGCCGGCCCAGCUGCAGGAGGACAUCACGCGCUACCAUCUGUGUCUGCAGGUGCGCAACGACAUCCUGGAGGGCCGGCUGCCCUGCUCGUUCGUAACACACGCCCUGCUCGGCUCGUACCUGGUGCAGUCCGAGCUGGGCGACUACGAUCCGGCCGAGAUGAAGGAUCGGUCCUAUCUGAAGGACUUCAAGAUCGCCCCGAACCAGACGCCCGAACUGCUGGACAAGGUGAUCGAUCUUCACAAGACCCACAAGAGUCAGACGCCAGCGGAAGCUGAGCUACACUAUCUUGAGAAUGCGAAAAAGCUCGCCAUGUACGGUGUCGAUCUGCACCCGGCGAAGGAUUCCGAAGGUGUCGACAUCAUGCUCGGCGUCUGUGCCUCCGGUUUGCUCGUGUACAGAGACAAACUUCGUAUCAAUCGGUUCGCCUGGCCGAAGAUCCUGAAGAUCUCGUACAAGCGCAACAACUUCUACAUCAAAAUCCGUCCGGGCGAGUUCGAGCAGUACGAGUCGACGAUCGGCUUCAAGCUAGAGAACCACCGGGCGGCGAAAAAGCUGUGGAAGGCGUGCGUGGAGCACCACACCUUCUUCCGGCUGAUGACGCCGGAACCGCAGCAAAAGUCGGGGCUGUUCCCGCGCCUUGGCUCGAAGUACCGAUACUCGGGCCGCACGCACUACGAAACGCGCAAAACGCCCGUCGAGCGUCCGGCGCCCGAUUUCAAGCGCAGCUUGACCGGAAAGCGGCUCUCCAGCCGCAGCAUGGAUGCACUCGCACAGCAGGAAAAGGAACGUGCGGCUGCCAAGGAUGCGGGAAAGGACGCAAACAAACGCCACACGAUGUCGCAUCCGCCGGAUCACAUCCCGGAUCUGGACUCGCCGACGCGCGGUUCCCGCAGCCCGAUCAAGAAGGACAAAAAGGAGCGCCUGAAGCGUGAGUCCAGCACUGGCACCGCGUCCGCCUCGUCGCAGAGCUCCCUCGAGGGAGAGUACGAAACCACAUCGCCAAACGUUGUUCCAGCACAGAAACCGGCUGGAGGAGUUGCCGUACUGCCAGUUGCCGGCAAGAAGGACAAACCCGAACAAGUUUCCCAGAAAGAUGAAGGUCUGAAUGGAAACAAUGGACAAGCCGAGGCACUGAACUCCUCUGCGGAAGAGGCAACAUCUCCCUCCGGCAAACGUAAGGGUUUCCUGUUUUCCUCCGGCCGCAAGUCGCCGAAGGACAAGAAAGACGCCGGAAAGGAGCAGCCGGCUAAGCUGAUGGCCGCCGCGAACGGUGACGGUGGCAGUGCGGGCAAAAAGGACCCGGCCAAGGAAGCGGUUCAGGCGCGGGCCCAAGAUACCGCUACGAACAAGACACCGCAAACGACGCCGGAGAAGCCCGGCUUUACCAAACCGUACGAGUACUCGGAAAGCGAACAGGACCCGGCGACGGCGCACAAAAAGAACGUAAAGACGCGCGGCUUCCGGUACGACGAGGCACCGUUGCGCCCGAACGAGGAAAGCGAAGCGCAGCUCAGCCCGAACUCGCAAAGCCGCCGCGCGACCGGGCUGGCGUUCAACUACGCGCCGGGUGAGGAUCAGAAGGUGCGCGAGUCGGUGGAGAAGCGUAAAGCGCCGGGAUCGCCGGUAGCUGCCACUGCCACCGCUGCCGGUGUCAAGACCGAUCAGCUCUCGCCCAAAUCGGCUGCACGUGGACUGCCCGGGGAGAGUGAGGCUGAGAAGGGUGUACGCACCAGCGCUCGAUCGUACUCGCCCAACAAGGGUAGACAGGCGGUUGAUCCACUCGCUUCUGGGGCCGGCACGUUCCGUCCGUUAGACGACACUAGCAGUGCGUUUAUUCAGGGCGAGCAGGCUGGUGCUGCUGCUGCGGCAGCCGCUGCAGCCGCCGCCGCCGCUGCCGAACCGGCCAAGAAGAAGGUGAAGAUUAUGGUGAUCAUUUCCAAGUUUGAUCCCAAAACGAAGAAGGUCGAUACGGCGCAGGGUGUGGUGGAGCAUUCGACCGGCGUGCUGGACACGAAGACGGGCCAAAUUGAGAGCAAGUACGGGCUGAUCGAUCCGAAGGCCGGCACGGUGGUGAACUUCAACGCUCGCACCGGCCAGAACGAAACGUUCCAGGGCCAGACGGACCCGAAGACGGGCCAGCUGCACAUCGUGGGCGGCGUGGUCGACUCGGCUAGCGGCAAGGUAGAUGAUACGCUCGGCCAGGCCAUUAUGGUGGUGCCGGACGAGGAUUCGGUGGUCGAGAUCACGACCAUCACCUCCAAGGUGGAUCCCAACACGGGCAAAAUCGACACAAUCAAUGGAGAAAUUGAGAAGAGUCGCGGUAUUCUGAACCACCGUACCGGCAUUCUGAGCACCAAGUACGGUGACAUUAACCCGCGCACGGGAGAGCUGCGAGCGAUCGAUCCGAAGACGGGCAAACCAUCGCCUGCGGCUGCUGCCGUGCGUCCGGUGACGGUCGAUCGUAGCAAUGGACAGAUUAUGGUGGUUGGCGUGACCGACCCGAAGACGAACAAGCUGGACAACAGCCAGGCGCAUCUGAUCGCGAUCGGCAACCAGGUGGAUCCGGUGGUGGAGGUAACGUCCGUGCUCGGCAAGCUUGACAAGAAGGGUCUGGUCGAUCCGAAAACGAUCACGUACGACAAGAGCACGGGUCAGCUGGACACGAAGGACGGCAAAAUCAACACCAAGUACGGUCAGCUGGAUCUGGUGAAGCAAACGGUCACGUUUGUCGACCCGAAGACGGGCAAGACGGAAACGAAGGAGAUCAAGGUGGAUCCGGUCAGUGGGCAGGUGUUGCUGAAGAAUCAGGUCAACCCGAAGACGGGCAAAACGGACAAAGACUACGGGCGUAUCGUGUCGAUUCGCAUCGUGCACAACCGUAUCGAUCCGGUGACGGGUAAGCACGUGCCGGCUGCCCCGGUCGAGGACAAAGACAUCCGUGUGGAUGCCAAAACGAACCAGGUCUGGCUGCCGGAUGGUGGUAAGGAUCCAAAGACGGGCGAAACGAUUUACACUUCGAGCCAGGUCGAUCCGAAGACCGGUUUUGUCAUCACGAUCUACGGCUAUCUUAACCCGAAGACGAACGAAAUCGAACGACAGGCCAAGAUGGACCCGAACAUGACGAAGGUGGACCCCACGACGGGUCAGAUCUAUGCCGCCACCGGCCAGGUCGAUGAGGCCACCGGUGAGCCACUGUUCGCCGCGACCCAAAUCAACGAAGAGGACGGCGAAAUCUACACCAAGGUGGGCCGUAUCGAUCCGAAAUCGGGCCGACUAGUCAUCAUCAAGAUCUUCAUCAUCACGAAGAAGGACGAGCGGGGCAAACCGGAGGAGCUGGACGUGAGCGCGGUCGAUCUGGAUCCGGAGACGGGUCACAUUCGCAACGUUGCACCGAAGACGCUGUAUCUGUACAAGAUGCGCGAUCCGAUCACGGGCGAGACGUACAACGUGGAUCCGAACGAUCCGCGCAUUGCCGGCGCACGAACGACGGUCACGCAAACGAUGACGCUGAGCGGUGAGAUUGACCCGGCUACCGGGCGCAUCAAGUCCGAGUGGGGCCACAUCGAUCCGAACACGGGCGACAUUGAUCCAGCGACGGCCAUCCGCGAUCCGGUCACCGGUAAGCUGAUCCUGAACUAUGCCGACAUUGAACCGAGCCACUUUGGCAAGAAUGUAACGGUGACGAAGGAAACGGUACCGAUUACGCGCGAGCAGUUCUACGAAGGCAUCAAGCACAUGGACAGGAAGGCCACGCGCCGGGACUCAGAAAGCUCGGACGACGAUAUGACCGCCCAGUACGGCAAGGAAAGCAUCAAGGAGAUCAGCUCGGGUACAGCGGCGGCGGGCAGCAAGUUGAAUGCUGCUGCUGCUGCGGCUGCUGCCGGCACGCCAACCGUAGUGAAGACGACAACCAAGCAGGUGAUCACGAAGAACGAGGAUGGCGUUACGCAUAACGUGGAGGAGGAGGUGCAGAAUCUGGGCACCGGACAGAUCGUGUACUCCACCCAGGAGCACAAGGCGGAUGCCCCGACCGGUACGGAUGCAGGUAAAUUUGUGACGGCCACCGCUGUCACGACGCGUACCGCCACCACCCACGAGGAUCUGGGCACGAACGCAAAAACGCAACAGCUCGAAGAGAAAACGGUGGCCACCACCACCACCCAGCACGGUGAGCGGCAGGAGCAGCGUGUCAUUACGCAGGAAGUCAAAACCACGGCCACGGUGACGAGUGGCGAUCAGUACGCACGCCGUGACAGUGUCUCAUCGUCGAGUUCCGGCGACUCCGGAACACCGAUCGAUGGCCCCUACGGAGACGAAUCGCUGUCGGAAGUGAUCUACAACAAGUCCUACACGGGAGCGGAUAACGUUGUCGGUGCCUCACAAAUCCCGGAAGGACCGAACGUGGAGCAUCGGCGCGUGGUGCUAGAUGAUCUUGCCGAAGGUGGCACCACUACCCACGGUGAAAUCGUAUCGUCCCAGACGGUAUCCAGCAAAACGCGAACCGUUGAAACAAUCACCUACAAAACGGAACGGGACGGUGUGGUGGAGACACGCGUCGAGCAAAAGAUCACCAUCCAGUCUGAUGGCGACCCGAUCGAUCAUGACAAAGCCCUUGCUGAAGCAAUCCAGGUUGCUUCACUUAAAAUCAAUAUCAACCCUUUCGAUCGCCGGGAAGCAGCCCGCAGAUAUCUGCUGCACACGAGCCAAUCGCCCCUGGCCGCGUUGCGCUCGACGAAGCCACAACUUCCCGGCCCAAGCUCCCCGCAAGGUCGCCCGGAAGGGGGAAAAUGAAGCAAGACGGUGUGGAAAAAAGAAACAGGGCUAAAGGGGUCGGGUUGUCAGCUACCCUUACGAACGAACUGAACACCACUGCAAGGCAGCAUUUUGAGAGUAGCAUUGAGGAAGCAACCGCCAUGAAUCCAGAUAUGACAGUGGAGAAGAUUGAAAUUCAACAGCAAACGCAAUAAGCAGCAGCAGCAGCGGAUCAUCACAAUCACGUCUCUCAACGCCCCCUUUAUAUCUUUAUGCUGACAAACACACACAUGAGCGCGGGAGUGUUCUCCGCAACCCUCCCACGUGUGUGCAUCCCAUAUGUGCAUCACUGUAGCUCUUAGGCAAAACCGAUUCGAUUCGAGUGAAAACGAACGAAAGUCGACAAAUCGCGAUCACACUCGCGACAAUUUCAAACAGAUGUGUUAACACAGAUAUAUGGUAUGUGUGUGCCAUUAGCUCUCGAAAAGCGGCCACGCGAGCUGAAGAAAGCGUGAAAAGUGUGUUUGUGUGUGUUUGCCUCCUACACGUUCUGGAGUGAUUGCUUAAUCGUGUGUUGCCGCAAAGCUUGUUGCAAAUCAGUGUGCUCUUGGAGGUUAACACUGCUGCGAGAUGCAGUUUGAAGAUAACAUGAAAUAAAUAAGAAAACAUAAAGUGCAAAUCCCCCCUAUAAAGAGAGAGAGAGAAAAAGCAUCCUCCUCUUUUGUCAUUGCCGACCUUCGAGGAUCGCGAUGAGAAAGAGGGAGGAAACGUGGCAUACACACAGAGGUCGACGACAGGUGUGACGCCGAAGUAUAAGAAACGAAAACUAUUCAUAUAUUUAUUUAUUGCUUAAAGUGCGAUGCAACAUGUGCGCAUGCAAAGAAAGGGAGAAGCAGCCGGUGGAUUCGCUGAAUAUUUAGAGUUUAAAAAAAAUAUAUGGCAAGUCGAGAAGAAAGGAACACGACGACGAAGAGCGCAAGCAAGCAAACAAUCAAAUUCUCGCUUUAAAACAAAAUCACCAAUGCUGCUUUUUGGAAGAGCAAAAGAAAGGAAAAGAUAUGGAAAACCCUUAUAUACACACACAUUGCAUACACCAGGCAUCACCCCCAGGCACCCAAGAUACAUAUAUUGAUUAGAUGGAAGAUGGAUCUUUGAUGUUAAGAUGUGUAUUACAAUUUUUUCAGGGCAUACAAAGUAUAUGAGAUAAUUUGCAUUUUUGAGAGGGGAGCAAUUUUCGGGGCAGAGCGAAAUAGAAAGCGAUAAAGUACUAAACCCCCUCUCCGCCAAAACGGGCGAUUAUUUACAGUUGUUGACCGAGCAUGUCUUCGAUACAAGUAAAACAAACAAAAGUAACAAAGUAAGUGGAACAACCAGUAAGUGUGUGCAGAAGCAUUAGCAAUGCAGCAAGCGAAUAUUAAGCUCGCCAAAAGAAUACAACCGCUUUAGUUGUGGAGGGCGUCGCACGACGUAACGUAUUUUACUGUGGGAAGCACUAUUUGUACUAUUGAAUUUAAAUGUAAGAAAGCUAUCAUCGAUGUGCGCGUGUGCACAUCACGGACGAGAGAGGCGUGUUGUGCUUUGUUUUGUGUGUCGCGCUUAUACUUUUGUUGUUAGAACACCAACUAAACCGUCUCUCCCUUUUUCAUUGCCCUGUUUGCAGAUAAAAGCUAAAACACAAUUUUUGGAGAAAUUUUAAAUCCCACCCUCCCAAGCAGAGCCUCUCUUAGGACCCCGUCAAAAACAAAGAGAGACCCCCGCGUGUGUUAGAAGGAAAGAGGAACAAAAAUAUGUCAAACCAAAAUACCAUCAGUGUUCAGUGGAGUGUAAAACAAUGAGAGAAAGAUGGUGUGCAAUAGCAACAGUGAAAAGCCGCCAGCGCGCUCGUUCCGCAUGUGCUUUCCGCACCAAAACAAGCGAAAACAAUAUUUCAAUUGUACAAAAAAUAGCAAAACUUUGGAAAACAUUUGGCGACAAACCGUAAAAAACAAAUAGAAAACAAAAUCGACAACAACCCAUAGUGUUGUGUGGGUAUGAAGGUAGAAACACAUACACAACAAAAGAAAAGGUUGCCUUAUUUUAGUUACUCUCUUUAGGCAAAAACGACUCUAGCAGAACAAGCGAAUCAUGACCCAACUGCAGUAUCUAUAUCCCCCCUCAAACACACACACGCAUACAUAUAUACACUCUAAAACAUCUCGUUAUCACUACCUGGGGAGAAGGAUCAUGCUAACAAAGCUUUCAUGUAUGUUCUUCGUUGCUUCCCGUUCCUUGUUUUGUGCUCCAAUUCGUACUCGUAUUGAAUUGGUUAUACCACUUGCUUUAUUCUACUUUAGCUACUAUUAUUUUUUGUGUUUUGUAAAGAUUUUAGUUAAUUUUUUGGUUGCAUGAACAUUCCAUACUUUCUUGGAAAAAAAACUAUAAGCUUCUCCUCCUAAACUUCUGUGUAUCAUUACCUGAUUUAUUGUUUUGUUUUGAUUUUUUCCCCUAAUUUAUUUCACUACUCUUAUCUUUAGUUGAUCCCCAGCCCUUCUCUAUGUGGGAUCUGAUCGGUAGCCGAUCGAUUACCUUUUUUUUCUCUCUCGUUUUAGCCAAGCUAAGCUAAGGAAUGUUUAUGUGUUUCUUUUACGUUUAAUACGAUCGCCGUUCAGCAAUAAUCCCUUUUAUAGAAAGAGUUAACAUAAUUGCAAAUUGUGCAUAUAUACAUAUACAUGUGAGAAGAAAAGAAAGAGAAAAAAUCAUCCGCAACCGUAACCUCAUACACCAGAAGGCACCAGAAGGGCAAUCAGAGGUUUCAGUAGGGGACGAAUAAAGAUAUAUGAAACUACAAGGGGGGUGGGGGAGAGGAGUAACCACCCUUGCCCCCCUCCCCCCUCAGUACAUACACAUAUGAUUGCUGUUUGUUUUAGUUUUUAUUUUUAAUUUAAUUUUGUCUUACGAAAUGCGAAAGUUUCGUGUUCUUUUUUUAUCUUAUCGAAAUAUACUUUAAAAAUUGUUAAGUAUGAUUAA